UUUACAAUUAGGUUAAAUUUAUAAACUUUUAACUUGUGGUGUUAAAAAUACUUAAAGUAUUGUAAAA
rnacentral:tRNA from 1 species